rnacentral:misc_RNA from 1 species
UAAAACUCUUCAAAUUCCACCCAAAAAUCGAAACCCCAUUUGAUUUAUCUCAAGGUUUUUGUCUGGGAAGAAUCUUGUGAUGGACUUCUUACAGUCUCUGGAUCCUCAAAUCCUUCUAGGUUUGGCUGUGGCUGUUUUAGCCCUUGCCGUUGGUGCUUUCUAUGUAUUAUCCUCGUCCAAAAAAAGCAAAUCCAGAGGUUGCUUGAAUCCAGAGGUUUUCAAGGAGUUUAAACUUGUCAAGCGCCUGCAGCUGAGCCAUAAUGUGGCGAAGUUUACAUUUACACUCCCGAAUCCUACUUCAGUUCUAGGUCUUCCCAUUGGACAACAUAUAAGUUGCAGGGGCAAGGAUGGCCAAGGUGAAGAGGUUAUCAAACCGUACACACCUAUUACUUUGGAUUCUGAUGUUGGAUAUUUUGAAUUGGUCAUAAAGAUGUAUCCUCAAGGAAGGAUGUCACACCAUUUCCGCCAGAUGCGUGUAGGCGAUUUUCUUGCUGUAAAGGGGCCCAAGGGGCGUUUCAGGUAUCAACCCGGCGAGGUCAGAGCAUUUGGGAUGCUUGCUGGAGGCUCUGGCAUUACGCCUAUGUAUCAAGUUGCUCGAGCAAUAUUAGAAAAUCCAAAUGACAAAACGAAGGUACAUCUCAUUUAUGCCAAUGUCACCUAUGAGGACAUUCUCUUAAAGGAGGAGUUGGAUCUUCUUGCCAAAAGGUACCCGGAUAGCUUCAAGCUCUAUUAUGUCUUAAACCAGGUCAGUCUUCUCCUUCUGCCACAACCACAAAAUUAAACUUCUCUCUGGCUAAACUUUCUACAAUUACAAGAUCUCCAUGUCAAAUGAUGGAAAGUCAUAUCAUGGUUAUUUUGUUUUGCUUUCCCGACAGAUUUUACACGAUAGAUGUGAACUUUGACAAAUCUAGUGAAUUAAAUUGGACCUCUUGUAUAGAGAUGUCCAAGGGGCGGGGACCAUUGAGCCAAUGGAGAGAAAAUUCUCCCUGCUCCCUCUCCCAUUCCUGGUCUAAUCGGAGAUUCCCUGCCCUGUUUGUGUUUGGAGCGGGUCCUUGCAGGGUAAAUAAAAUGAGCAUCUCUAGUCUUGUUCUCCAAAUCUCGGGUUGUUUAAUAACUGUACCUAAAAGUUGUUUUCAAUUUAUUCAAACAAAAAGGUAAAUGAAAUCCUUUUAGUUAACUGUUUUCUAAA